UACGUAGGGGGCAAGCGUUGUCCGGAAUCAUUGGGCGUAAAGCGCGUGUAGGCGGCCCGAUAAGUCCGCUGUGAAAGUCCAGGGCUCAACCCUGGAAUGCCGGUGGAUACUGUCUGGCUAGAGUCCGGAAGAGGAGAGUGGAAUUCCUGGUGUAGCGGUGAAAUGCGCAGAUAUCAGGAAGAACACCUAUGGCGAAGGCAGCUCUCUGGGACGGUACUGACGCUGAGACGCGAAAGCGUGGGGAGCGAACAGG
rnacentral:rRNA from 1 species